rnacentral:rRNA from 1 species
AACGAACGCUGGCGGCAUGCCUAACACAUGCAAGUCGAACGAGACCUUCGGGUCUAGUGGCGCACGGGUGCGUAACGCGUGGGAACCUGCCCUUAGGUUCGGAAUAACUCCCCGAAAGGGGUGCUAAUACCGGAUAAUGUCUUCGGACCAAAGAUUUAUCGCCUUUGGAUGGGCCCGCGUUGGAUUAGCUAGUUGGUGGGGUAAAGGCUCACCAAGGCGACGAUCCAUAGCUGGUCUGAGAGGAUGAUCAGCCACACUGGGACUGAGACACGGCCCAGACUCCUACGGGAGGCAGCAGUGGGGAAUAUUGGACAAUGGGCGAAAGCCUGAUCCAGCAAUGCCGCGUGAGUGAUGAAGGCCCUAGGGUUGUAAAGCUCUUUUACCAGGGAUGAUAAUGACAGUACCUGGAGAAUAAGCUCCGGCUAACUCCGUGCCAGCCGCCGCGGUAACAC